UCCAACAUGGCGGUGGAAGCGGGUUUAUAUGAACCUAUUUUGAGGCCAAAGCUACGACAAAGACGCCACUUAUGUAUCAUUUGUGUUUUUUUAAACGCAUUUUACUACGUCUGGUGGGAUUUGGGGGCAGAGAAAAGAUCUGCAGUGCCUGCAAAACACUGAAAUAGAAACCAUGUUGGCAAUUCCUGGCUAAUGCAAGACUCCUACUAAAGUACAUAUGUAGCCAAAAAUGGACAAGUCUAAAUGGGCAUUGUACAAUCUUGGAUGGAUAUUUCCAUGAACUUGGACAAGGCAUUAGUCUGACAAUAUGGUGGACAAGUCUGGAUGGUUACUAGUAAGACAAGCCUGAUGGACAGUGGGAUGGAAAGUCAACAAAUCAAACCAUUUAGACCAGUCAACAAUGGACAAGGCUGGAUGGAUACUUUGACUUGGACAAGACACUGGUCUGGAUGGAAACUGUGACAUUAACCUGACUGUAUGGUGGACAAGUCUGGAUGGACAGCAGACAAGACUCAAUGGACAGUGGAUGUGCAGUGGAUGGAUGCUAUACACUUGGAGAUGCCUGGAUGGAAAGUUAACAAGCCAAACCAUUUACUAGGUUGCUAAACUACAUUGGUUGUACACAGACAGCAUCCCAAGACUGCAGGAGAUUGGGGAAAGGGAAACAGGCAAGAACUGGAAGGCCAAACUUAGAGAUUGAUUGGAAUGACAAGAUGUCAAGAUGAUUUAUGGCUAAUGGUAUUAAUAAGUAAAGGUUCUCUAUUUAUGAUUUAAAGUAACAAUAUUUUUAUUACUAAAAAGAUACAACAUUAAUGGUAUAUGACAUACAUGAAUAGAGUGGUUUUACUUAACCCGUGAAAUAGAUAGUGGAAUUUUACAUGCCACAGCUUCCUAUUAGUUCCUACUAUUCCCCUAUAGUUAGUAAUUAUUUUGUUUUCUAGUCUUUGUUUUUGCAUACCAUCCACUAAUACUAAUUGGCAGACAAUAUUACACACUAACAAGUAGUUUCUUUUUCACGGGUUCAGAGAAAAUCACUCUAUAAUGGCAUGAAUUGCUGCCAUUUUUCUUUAUUUCGUGAUAUCGAUGCAAACCUCUGAAUGUAACAAAGCAUGCAACUUUUUUUCCAAAUUAAUACUAACAAAAAUUCGUCUAAUCCUGGGAUUGAAAAUAUUAAAUUCAAAUGUCACUUUAAAUGAGGCAAAAAAAAUAUUUUCAUUGGUCUUUUUUUUUCUUUGAAAAAAUAGAGAAGAUCUUAAUAAUAGAUUACAUUUCUCUCCAUAGAAUUAUUUUAGGUUUUCUAAUUUCGAAACAGUUCUCAAAAUGAAACUCUUGCAAAUAUUUGUGCAACAUGCACAGGUAUUGUGUA